GUCCCUGUAGAGCAAUGGAUAGUUCGUUGGACUUCUAAUCAAAAUUUUGUGAGUUAGAAUCUCACCUGGGGUG